AUUGAACGCUGGCGGCAGGCCUAACACAUGCAAGUCGAACGGUAACAGGAAGCAGCUUGCUGCUUCGCUGACGAGUGGCGGACGGGUGAGUAAUGUCUGGGAAACUGCCUGAUGGAGGGGGAUAACUACUGGAAACGGUAGCUAAUACCGCAUAACGUCGCGAGACCAAAGAGGGGGACCUUCGGGCCUCUUGCCAUCGGAUGUGCCCAGAUGGGAUUAGCUAGUAGGUGGGGUAACGGCUCACCUAGGCGACGAUCCCUAGCUGGUCUGAGAGGAUGACCAGCCACACUGGAACUGAGACACGGUCCAGACUCAUACGGGAGGCAGCAGUGGGGAAUAUUGCACAAUGGGCGCAAGCCUGAUGCAGCCAUGCCGCGUGUAUGAAGAAGGCCUUCGGGUUGUAAAGUACUUUCAGCGGGGAGGAAGGCGAUAAGGUUAAUAACCUUGUCGAUUGACGUUACCCGCAGAAGAAGCACCGGCUAACUCCGUGCCAGCCGCCGCAGUAA
rnacentral:rRNA from 1 species